rnacentral:rRNA from 1 species
AUUGAACGCUGGCGGCAUGCCUUACACAUGCAAGUCGAACGGUAACGGGCCUUCGGGUGCCGGCGAGUGGCGGACGGGCGAGUAAUACAUCGGAACGUGCCCGAUCGUGGGGGAUAACGAGGCGAAAGCUUUGCUAAUACCGCAUACGAUCUACGGAUGAAAGCAGGGGACCGCAAGGCCUUGCGCGGACGGAGCGGCCGAGGGCCGCUUAGGUAGUUGGUGGGAUAAAAGCUUAGCAAGCCGAAGAUCUGUAGCUGGACUGAGAGGAUGAUCGGCCACACUGGGACUGGGACACGGCCCAGGCUCCUACGGGAGGCAGCAGUGGGGAAUGUUGGACAAUGGUCGGAAGCCUGAUCCAGCCAUGCCGCGUGCAGGAUGAAGGCCUUCGGGUUGUAAACUGCUUUUGUACGGAACGAAAAGCCUUCUUUUAAUACAGGAGGGUCAUGACGGUACCGGAAGAAUAAGCACCGGCUAACUACGUG